rnacentral:rRNA from 1 species
AUUGACCGCUGGCGGCAGGCCUAACUCAUGCAAGUCGAGCGAGCGGCGGCCGGGUGAGUAAUGUAUGGUGCCUGCCCGACAGAGGGGGAUAACCACUGGAAACGGUAGCUAAUACCGCAUAACAUCGGAUACCCCAUAUGGGAUUAGCAAGUAGGUGAGGUAAUGGCUCACCUAGGCGACGAGCCCUAGCUGGUCUGAGAGGAUGAUCAGCCACACUGGGACUUAGACACGGCCCAGACUCCUACGGAGGCAGCAGUGGGAGAGAUUGCACAAUGGGCGCAAGCCUGAUGCAGCCAUGCCGCGUUUAUGACGAAGGCCCUAGGGUUGUAAGGUACGUUCAGUCGGGAGGCGUUGCCGACAGAAAGAGCGCCGGCUAACUCCGUACCAGCCGCCGCGGUAAUUC